rnacentral:lncRNA from 1 species
GUACACACACACAGGGCUACAGGUACACACACACAUACACAGGGCUACAGGUACACACACACACACACACACAGGGCUACAGGUACACACACACACACACACACACACACACACACAGGGCUACAGGUACACACACACACACUCACAGGGCUACAGAUACACACACACACACACACACACACACACACACACACAGGGCUACAGUUACACACACACACACAGGGCUACAGGUACACACACACACAGGGCUACAGGUACACACACACAGGGCUACAGGUACACACACACACAGGGCUACAGGUACACACACACACAGGGCUACAGGUACACACACACACACAGGGCUACAGGUACACACACACACACAGGGCUACAGGUACACACACACACACACAGGGCUACAGGUACACACACACACACACACACACACACACACACACACACACACACACACACAGGGCUACAGGUACACACACACACAGGGAUACAGAUACACACACACACACACACACACACACACACACACACACACACAGGGCUACAGGUACACACACACACACACACACACACACACACACACACACACACACACACACACACACACACAGGGCUACAG